GAGGAUGUUGGCUUAGAAGCAGCCAUCAUUUAAAGAAAGCGUAACAGCUCACUCACUUAGAGAGUCUGCGCCGCAGAUGAUCGGGGUUCAAGUAUAGUACCGAAACUGAGGGCUUGUACUUUCUUCGGAUAGUACAAGCGGUAGGAGAGUAUUCUACUCUGCGUUGAAGGAGAAGGGGUGACCCACUCUGGAGCGUGUAGAAGUAAGAAUGUUGGCACAAGUAACCACAAUGCGGGUGAGAGACCCGCACAUCGAAAGACGAAGGAUUCCUUGGCAAUGGAAAUCAGCCAAGGGUUAGUCGGGCCUAAGGAAAUGGCGAAAGCCGAAUCCGAUGGACACACGGUUAAUAUUCCGUGACUAGUGCAGUAUGCGAUGGGAUGACGGAGUGUAGUAUGUACCGCCCACUAUUGGAUGGGGGUGUGUGCCUUGAGGGCGGAGCCGAGGAAAAUCCCGGUUCCUGUGUUUAAUCACGAUCCCAAAUGGAGCAUCGAUGCCGUGGUUCGCCACGGACAAGGGUACAAAGCACGCUUUCAAGAAAAUUCUCUAAGCUUAAUAUUGCAGUAACCGUACCUAAAACCGAAACAGGUAGUCAGCUCGAGUAGAGCAAGAUGAACGAGUGAAGGUCCUCCAAGGAACUCGGCAAAAAAGCAGCCGUAACUUCGGAAUAAGGCUUGCCCUGUCCAGCAAUGGAUUGGGGCCGCAGCUAAAGUAUCUCUGGCAACUGUUUAUCAAAAACACAGCUCCCUGCGAACUCGCAAGAGGAAGUAUAGGGGGUGACACUUGACCAAUGCCAGAAGGUCAACCACUUGCGGUGCGAUUAUAUCAAGCUGACGAGUGUAAGCCCUGGUGAAUGUCGGCCGUAACUAUAACGGUCCUAAGGUAGCGCAAUUCCUUGUCAGGUAAGUUCUGACGCGUUGAAUAGUGUAAUGUCUGGAGAACUGUCUCGGAGGACAGCUCGGUGAAAAUACAAUCCCGGUGAAGAUGCCGGGUACCUGCAGUUAGACGAAAAGACCCUAGAAGCUUUACUGCAGCUUGAUAUUGAGCAUACGAUUGCGAUGCGUAGCAUAGACGUGAGACUUUGAAGGGCGCUUUCGGGCAGCCUGGAGUCGCCAGUGAAAUAGCGUUCUUCGUUGUUGUAUGUUCUAACCCCGAGGGUAAAAAUCUCGGGAGACAGUAUCUGGUGGGCAGUUUUAGUGGGGCGCUAUCCUCCUAAAAAGUAACGGAGGAGUUUAUUAAGGUCAGCUAGCCGUGAAUGGAAACCAUGGCGAUAGUGUAUGGGCACAAGCUGGCUUGACUGCGAGACGUACGUGUCGAGCAGAUGCGAAAGCAGAGCCAAGUGAACCGACCGUUCGCAUUAGAUGCGGCGGAAGAUUAUCGGACAAAAGCUACUCUAGGGAUAACAGGCUAGUUCCGCCUAAGAGUUCAUAUCGACGGCGGAGUUCGGCACCUCGAUGUCGGCUCAUCUUAUCCUGGGGCUGGAGAAGGUCCCAAGG
rnacentral:rRNA from 1 species